UACGUAGGUGGCAAGCGUUAUCCGGAUUUAUUGGGCGUAAAGAGAACGCAGGCGGUCUUUUAAGUCUGAUGUGAAAGCCUUCGGCUUAACCGGAGUAGUGCAUUGGAAACUGGGGGACUUGAGUGCAGAAGAGGAGAGUGGAACUCCAUGUGUAGCGGUGAAAUGCGUAGAUAUAUGGAAGAACACCAGUGGCGAAAGCGGCUCUCUGGUCUGUAACUGACGCUGAGGUUCGAAAGCGUGGGUAGCAAACAGG
rnacentral:rRNA from 1 species